rfam:Flavobacterium sp. CF136 PMI10_contig170.170, whole genome shotgun sequence.
CCAUAGCCCCGAUGGGAGGGAAAAUCCUUUUGUGGUGGGGUUCACCACAAAAGAUUGGAAGGGACAGCGGGAAUAAGC